rnacentral:rRNA from 1 species
UUAUACAUGCAAGUCGAACGAGAAAGUCACUUCGGUGGCGAGUACAGUGGCGCACGGGUGAGUAACGCGUAGAUGAUCUACCCUUCAGUCUGGGACAACUCUUGGAAACGGGAGCUAAUACCGGAUAAAACCUUCGGGUUGAAAGAUUUAUCGCUGAGGGAUGAGUCUGCGUACCAUUAGCUUGUUGGUGGGGUAACGGCCUACCAAGGCGACGAUGGUUAGCGGGUCUGAGAGGACGAUCCGCCACACUGGAACUGAGACACGGUCCAGACUCCUACGGGAGGCAGCAGUAGGGAAUAUUGCGCAAUGGGGGCAACCCUGACGCAGCAAUGCCGCGUGAGUGAAGAAGGCCUUCGGGUCGUAAAGCUCUUUUAUGGGAGAAGAUGAUGACGGUAUCCCAUGAAUAAGCACCGGCUAACUACGUGCCAGCAGCCGCGGUAAUACGUAGGGUGCGAGCGUUGUUCGGAAUUACUGGGCGUAAAGGGCGUGCAGGCGGAUUGGCAAGCCGGAGGUGAAAGCCCGGGGCUCAACCCCGGAGGGUCUUUCGGAACUGCCAGUCUUGAGAGGGUCAGGGGCCAGCCCAAUUCCUGGUGUAGAGGUGAAAUUCGUAGAGAUCAGGAGGAACACCGGCGGCGAAAGCGGCUGGCUGGGGCCACUCUGACGCUGAGGCGCGAAAGCGUGGGGAGCAAACAGGAUUAGAUACCCUGGUAGUCCACGCCGUAAACGAUGGGCACUAAGCGUCCGACGGGUUCGACCCUGUUGGGUGCUGCAGUUAACGCGUUAA